AUGAAAUGCAAGACAUGUCCUCACAAAGUAAAUGCAAAAACUGCAUUACAUAGUGUGGUCUAUCAUGCGUCUCAACUCUCUCAAGAAUGUUGAAGGUCAUCACGAGGUCGUCGGCCAGAAAGACCUAGGACCACUGAUUGACAGGGCAUGUGCCAAGUGCGGUCACGAUGGA